GGGGUGGUUUCCAGAGAAGAAUACUUCAAUCACCUACAGAAAAUACGGGUAGAGCUUUGCUGCCGCGUUCUCUUGGCAUCACAAUGUCUGGUAAUAAUUAUGUGCCUGGUAGGACUUGGCUUAAUCGCUCUCCUUCGCCACCUCUUGUGAGAAACUAUUCCGUCAUGGGCAAUAAUGUGCCGAUAGGAUUCACGAGCAACACCAAUUCCAGACAG
rnacentral:lncRNA from 1 species